rnacentral:lncRNA from 1 species
CAAUAUCAGUCCUGAGGGCCGAAGGUCCCGAGGGCUGAUAUUGGUCGAGUGGUGAUACAGCAUGCGAUACGGAUUUUUCCAUGUAUUAUUAUUCUGUUUAUCAUAUAUUUUAAUAGAAUCAUUUUCACGGGAUAUCCAUUUUUUAUUAAAUCGUCCGAAAUUAUUAGAAAGAAAAGAACAUUAUGAUUGUGCUGUAUUUUUCCAGCUGACUUUUUUUUAAUAGACUUCAACACCAAGAAAAAAAUUAUUGAAAAGUUUGCUAUCUAUUCUAAUCAAACUGAAACCGUAAAAAAUAUCCAUCGGAUAAUGCAAACAAACCACGAAAAUUCAGACAAAAUUAACAAUAAAACUUCAGAUAGUUCCAUCUAAUUGUGUCUUUUUUUUUCUUUUACUUCAUAAAAGUUCCAGGGUAAUAAUUUUUUGAAAAAUAUCGAUUUUAGUUAAAAUGAUAGGACAUUUCUGUAAGGGUGAAUGCCAGAAAAUACAGCAACUGGACGUCAUAUGUCAAGCGUUGACGUCAUUUGCAUUAUGACGUCACGCCAGGUAUGCGAUAUGGGGUAUGCGAUACGGAUUUAGCUAUGCGAUACGGGGUAUGCGAUACAGGGUAUGUGAUACAGACUGGAAAAAGUAACCUUUAUUAGAUAUACAAAAUUGCUGUAUUUUGUAGUAAGUAUAUGAUAAAGACUAUUAUCACAGAUCUGCUUUCAACAUCAAAUGCUUUCAGAGGGCAGCAACAUAAAAAAAUAUGGAAACAAGGAGCUCUUUUAAAUAUUGCACCCUGUCGACUGGCAGUGGUCGUAGAAAGUUGCGUUUGGCUUUGAUCAUUUAUUAUCCAUAUGUUGUACCAUCAAACAAAAAAUAUUGUCAACUUUUUUAUACUGUACGAUUUAAUAAAUAAAUAUUUUUGAAGAAGAAAGUAUCAGUCUAUUGUUAAAUUCCUCUUCGUACAAAUGACUUCCAUUUCUCGGAAAAGUUAUUUAUUCCAGAUAAAAGCGCUGUACAUUAAAAAAAGGACAUAUUUUUGAAUAUGCAGUUUAUAUAAUGGAAUGGUGAUUUGGAGAUCUAAAAUGUAGUAGCAAUAUAAGCAAGCUUACAUUUUCGUCAUUUUGUCUUUGAUAGAAAGUUGAU